CCUACGGGAGGCUGCAGUGGGGAAUAUUGCACAAUGGGCGAAAGCCUGAUGCAGCGACGCCGCGUGAGGGAUGACGGCCUUCGGGUUGUAAACCUCUUUCGCUCAUGGUCAAGCCGCAGCAGUGGUUGUGGUGAGGGUAGUGGGUAAAGAAGCGCCGGCUAACUACGUGCCAGCAGCCGCGGUAAUACGUAGGGCGCGAGCGUUGUCCGGAAUUAUUGGGCGUAAAGGGCUUGUAGGCGGUUGGUCGCGUCUGCCGUGAAAUCCUCUGGCUUAACUGGGGGCGUGCGGUGGGUACGGGCUGACUUGAGUGCGGUAGGGGAGACUGGAACUCCUGGUGUAGCGGUGGAAUGCGCAGAUAUCAGGAAGAACACCGGUGGCGAAGGCGGGUCUCUGGGCCGUUAC
rnacentral:rRNA from 1 species